GGCGUUAAGUUGCAGGGUAUAGACCCGAAACCCGGUGAUCUAGCCAUGGGCAGGUUGAAGGUUGGGUAACACUAACUGGAGGACCGAACCGACUAAUGUUGAAAAAUUAGCGGAUGACCUGUGGCUGGGGGUGAAAGGCCAAUCAAACCGGGAGAUAGCUGGUUCUCCCCGAAAGCUAUUUAGGUAGCGCCUCGUGAAUUCAUCUCCGGGGGUAGAGCACUGUUUCGGCUAGGGGGCCAUCCCGGCUUACCAACCCGAUGCAAACUGCGAAUACCGGAGAAUGUUAUCACGGGAGACACACGGCGGGUGCUAACGUCCGUCGUGAAGAGGGAAACAACCCAGACCGCCAGCUAAGGUCCCAAAGUCAUGGUUAAGUGGGAAACGAUGUGGGAAGGCCCAGACAGCCAGGAUGUUGGCUUAGAAGCAGCCAUCAUUUAAAGAAAGCGUAAUAGCUCACUGGUCGAGUCGGCCUGCGCGGAAGAUGUAACGGGGCUAAACCAUGCACCGAAGCUGCGGCAGCGACGCUGAUGCGUUGUUGGGUAGGGGAGCGUUCUGUAAGCCUGCGAAGGUGUGUCGUGAGGCAUGCUGGAGGUAUCAGAAGUGCGAAUGCUGACAUAAGUAACGAUAAAGCGGGUGAAAAGCCCGCUCGCCGGAAGACCAAGGGUUCCUGUCCAACGUUAAUCGGGGCAGGGUGAGUCGACCCCUAAGGCGAGGCCGAAAGGCGUAGUCGAUGGGAAACGGGUUAAUAUUCCCGUACUUGGUGUUACUGCGAAGGGGGGACGGAGAAGGCUAUGUUGGCCGGGCGACGGUUGUCCCGGUUUAAGCGUGUAGGUGUGUGUUCCAGGUAAAUCCGGUUCACUUUAACACUGAGGCGUGAUGACGAGGCACUACGGUGCUGAAGCAACAAAUGCCCUGCUUCCAGGAAAAGCCUCUAAGCAUCAGGUAACAUCAAAUCGUACCCCAAACCGACACAGGUGGUCAGGUAGAGAAUACCAAGGCGCUUGAGAGAACUCGGGUGAAGGAACUAGGCAAAAUGGUGCCGUAACUUCGGGAGAAGGCACGCUGACACGUAGGUGAAGUGAUUUACUCAUGGAGCUGAAGUCAGUCGAAGAUACCAGCUGGCUGCAACUGUUUAUUAAAAACACAGCACUGUGCAAACACGAAAGUGGACGUAUACGGUGUGACGCCUGCCCGGUGCCGGAAGGUUAAUUGAUGGGGUCAGCGCAAGCGAAGCUCCUGAUCGAAGCCCCGGUAAACGGCGGCCGUAACUAUAACGGUCCUAAGGUAGCGAAAUUCCUUGUCGGGUAAGUUCCGACCUGCACGAAUGGCGUAAUGAUGGCCAGGCUGUCUCCACCCGAGACUCAGUGAAAUUGAACUCGCUGUGAAGAUGCAGUGUACCCGCGGCAAGACGGAAAGACCCCGUGAACCUUUACUAUAGCUUGACACUGAACAUUGAGCCUUGAUGUGUAGGAUAGGUGGGAGGCUUUGAAGUGUGGACGCCAGUCUGCAUGGAGCCGGCCUUGAAAUACCACCCUUUAAUGUUUGAUGUUCUAACGUGGACCCGUGAUCCGGGUUGCGGACAGUGUCUGGUGGGUAGUUUGACUGGGGCGGUCUCCUCCUAAAGAGUAACGGAGGAGCACGAAGGUUGGCUAAUCCUGGUCGGACAUCAGGAGGUUAGUGCAAUGGCAUAAGCCAGCUUGACUGCGAGCGUGACGGCGCGAGCAGGUGCGAAAGCAGGUCAUAGUGAUCCGGUGGUUCUGAAUGGAAGGGCCAUCGCUCAACGGAUAAAAGGUACUCCGGGGAUAACAGGCUGAUACCGCCCAAGAGUUCAUAUCGACGGCGGUGUUUGGCACCUCGAUGUCGGCUCAUCACAUCCUGGGGCUGAAGUAGGUCCCAAGGGUAUGGCUGUUCGCCAUUUAAAGUGGUACGCGAGCUGGGUUUAGAACGUCGUGAGACAGUUCGGUCCCUAUCUGCCGUGGGCGCUGGAGAACUGAGGGGGGCUGCUCCUAGUACGAGAGGACCGGAGUGGACGCAUCACUGGUGUUCGGGUUGUCAUGCCAAUGGCACUGCCCGGUAGCUAAAUGCGGAAGAGAUAAGUGCUGAAAGCAUCUAAGCACGAAACUUGCCCCGAGAUGAGUUCUCCCUGAGACUUAGAGUCUCCUGAAGGAACGUUGAAGACGACGACGUUGAUAGGCCGGGUGUGUAAGCGCAGCGAUGCGUUGAGCUAACCGGUACUAAUGAACCGUGAGGCUUAACCUU
rnacentral:rRNA from 1 species